GGAUUGUGUCUCAGUGGUAGAGCACUCGCCUAGCAUGCGCAAGGCCCUGGGUUCGAUCCUCAGCACCA
rnacentral:tRNA from 1 species